GACGAACGCUGGCGGCGUGCUUAACACAUGCAAGUCGAACGGAAAGGCCCUGCUUUUGUGGGGUGCUCGAGUGGCGAACGGGUGAGUAACACGUGAGUAACCUGCCCUUGACUUUGGGAUAACUUCAGGAAACUGGGGCUAAUACCGGCUAGGAGCUCCUGCUGCCUGGUGGGGGUUGGAAAGUUUCGGCGGUUGGGGAUGGACUCGCGGCUUAUCAGCUUGUGGGUGGGGGAGUGGCUUACCAAGGCUUUGACGGGUAGCCGGCCUGAGAGGGUGACCGGCGACAUUGGGACUGAGAUACGGCCCAGACGCCUACGGGAGGCAGCAGUGGGGAAUAUUGCACAAUGGGGGGAAGCCUGAUGCAGCAACGCCGCGUGCGGGAUGACGGCCUUCGGGUUGUAAACCGCUUUCGCCUGUGACGAAGCGUGAGUGACGGUAAUGGGUAAAGAAGCACCGGCUAACUACGUG
rnacentral:rRNA from 1 species